UGGGUAAAGAAGCACCGGCUAACUACGUGCCAGCAGCCGCGGUAAUACGUAGGUGGCAAGCGUUAUCCGGAAUUAUUGGGCGUAAAGCGCGCGUAGGCGGUUUUUUAAGUCUGAUGUGAAAGCCCACGGCUCAACCGUGGAGGGUCAUUGGAAACUGGAAAACUUGAGUGCAGAAGAGGAAAGUGGAAUUCCAUGUGUAGCGGUGAAAUGCGCAGAGAUAUGGAGGAACACCAGUGGCGAAGGCGACUUUCUGGUCUGUAACUGACGCUGAUGUGCGAAAGCGUGGGGAUCAAACAGGAUUAGAUACCCUGGUAGUCCACGCCGUAAACGAUGAGUGCUAAGUGUUAGGGGGUUUCCGCCCCUUAGUGCUGCAGCUAACGCAUUAAGCACUCCGCCUGGGGAGUACGACCGCAAGGUUGAAACUCAAAGGAAUUGACGGGGGCCCGCACAAGCGGCGGAGCAUGUGGAUUAAUUCGAUGCAACGCGUAGAACCUUACCUGGGUUUGACAUGGAUCGGGAGUGCUCAGAGAUGGGUGUGCCUCUUUUGGGGUCGGUUCACAGGUGGUGCAUGGCUGUCGUCAGCUCGUGUCGUGAGAUGUUGGGUUAAGUCCCGCAACGAGCGCAACCCUUGUUCACUGUUGCCAGCACGUUAUGGUGGGGACUCAGUGGAGACCGCCGGGGUCAACUCGGAGGAAGGUGGGGAUGACGUCAAGUCAUCAUGCCCCUUAUGUCCAGGGCUUCACGCAUGCUACAAUGGCUGGUACAGAGAGUGGCGAGCCUGUGAGGGUGAGCGAAUCUCGGAAAGCCGGUCUCAGUUCGGAUUGGGGUCUGCAACUCGACCUCAUGAAGUCGGAGUCGCUAGUAAUCGCAGAUCAGCAACGCUGCGGUGAAUACGUUCCCGGGGCUUGUACACACCGCCCGUCAAGUCAUGAAAGUUGGUAACACCCGAAGCCGGUGGCCUAACCGUUGUGGGGGAGCCGUCGAAGGUGGGACUGGUGAUUAGGACUAAGUCGUAACAAGGUAGCCGUACCGGAAGGUGCGGCUG
rnacentral:rRNA from 1 species